UACGAAGGGGGCUAGCGUUGCUCGGAAUCACUGGGCGUAAAGCGCACGUAGGCGGACUCUUAAGUCGGUGGUGAAAUCCUGGAGCUCAACUCCAGAACUGCCUUCGAUACUGAGAGUCUCGAGUCCGGGAGAGGUGAGUGGAACUGCGAGUGUAGAGGUGAAAUUCGUAGAUAUCGGAAGGAACAUCAGUGGCGAAAGCGACUUCCUGGACCAGUACCGACGUUCAGGCACGAAAGCGUGGGGAGCAAACAGG
rnacentral:rRNA from 1 species